rnacentral:rRNA from 1 species
UACAGAGGAGCCAAGCGUUGUCCGGAUUGACUGGGCGUAAAGCGCACGCAGGCGGAUGCGCGCGUGGGGUGUGAAAUCUGGCCGCUUAACGGCCAGGCGCCAUCCCAUACGGCGCGUCUGGAGUGAUGCAGAGGUCGGUGGAAUUGCCGGUGUAGCGGUGAAAUGCGUAGAUAUUGGGAGGAACACCAGUGGCGAAGGCGGCUCACUGGACCGGUUCUGACGCUGAGGCGCGAAAGCGUGGGGAGCAAACGGG